UUUGAUAAAAAACAUGUUUUAAAAUCCUCUGAAAAAACCCUUUGGUGUUCUUCAUAUUCCUAGCCGGCCACCAUGAGGGGUGGAACCGACCACCGUUAUCGGCCAUGGAAAUAAAGAAAAAUGGUUGCUUCACGAUACUUUCUCUCUCCCUAACACAAAUCUAAGGAAAACUAAACUCGAAAGAAAAACCCAACCCUCGAGGAGGCUUCAGAUCUAAAGAGAUACACUGAAGAAACCUCCUCUUUCCUUGGGUUCAAAAGAAAAAAGACUCAAACAAUCACCCAAAAUGAUGCAUGCUAGCACGAAAUGUGGUAAAAAUGGUACCUUUGAAGAACAAAAUGUCUUGCAUGGAAGAGGAAAGGUGACCGGAGGGUGCACGAGACCAAGAGUUUCGUGGGUAGCCUUGCGUACGUCAUACACGUCAGAUUUGAAGUAAUCGAACGAUCGGGGAAGUCCAGGGUACUGUGCGUGCAUCACACGCUCUAAAUUUGGUCAUCCAAAACAACUACAGUGUUUUGAAGCAAUUGGGGCUGUCAUAUCGUCACCUAGAUCCAAGGGCAGAGAUACAACGGCGGCUAGGGUUAGAAAAUCCUAAGGUUUCCAACUGAACUUUAAAAUUUUGGGUCACAUGGGCCGAUUAAGUCUAGGGUCAAUUUGGAUUUGUGUUUGGGUUAUAUUUUGUACUGUAAUUUGGACAUUUUUCAAUUAUUUGGGCUAAAUGAGCCCGGACAAAAAUGACAUAUUACAAUUAUGAUAGUAAUUUAAUUUCAUUUGGUACAUAAGUUUUAGUUCGCAGAUUGUGAU